AAAUAUUUUGUAAUUAAUGUCGGGGGGAAAAUUUUAAUUAAUAAUAAUAUACUAUCUCACGACUGAUUAAAACGUACGUGUAAUUAUCUUCGCGAUGAUUAUUUUCGUCGUUCGCGAUCAUAGUCGUGUCGACGCAAUCCAAUGACUACGCCUAUGUUAUAGUUACGCGCCUGAAAAUCUGAUUAUAUAUGUAUUACAUUUUUGGCGUUUGAUUUACGUACAUGUUAACGCACAUUGAUCCAGUACACUAGAUGCAAUAUGUGCUUACGAUACAUUAAGCCGGAUUUAAAAGGCGGCAAAUGCGAUCACGAGAUCGUAACGUCAUUAAAGGGACCUUUCGGUCCUUAAAAAAUUACCACAGAUAACCUAAAGGCCUAAUUGCACUUGUGUUUAAUAAAUAUUUCUUCGUGUUGCGUACUUGCUCAUUGGCAAGGCAAUUUAUGUAACGGCACAGGAUAAAUCAUGUAUCUCGCCAUGUAAUCCACAUGCGCCGGACUGUGCAAGAUAAACCGUUAUCGCCUUGAACUUGCAUAACGCUUGCAUAAUUUUUAAUCGAUAUACCAAACUAUAUAUGGAGUUAAAUCAUAUAGUUUGAAUGAAUAAAGCAACAUCUUUAACAUAA